UCACAGCCCCAUAGCUGCUCAGGUAUGGUGGGGGGACAUUGGCCUGUCACCUGCACUGAGAACAAUUCGACUGCCAGUCUGGUUGUACACGGUUGGCAAAGGAUGGGACACAUCUUGCCCGCCUCAGGCACCAGAAUCUCCUGGGCCAGCCCUGGAAGCAAAAGAGGGAGAAAAAAGGUCUCCACCCUCAAAAUGUGAACAAACAGUUUUGAAUUAGAGAUGGAUAAUAGGCCAGUUUUCCAGUAGGAGAGAGAGGUCACUUGCUCCUCAGCUCCUUGCUUGGUCAACACAGAAAAGAUUGGUUUGUUAAAAUGACGGAAGCGACUUUAGCACUCCAGUUUUUGUGUGCAGGACAGAUUUGUGGCCGAAUGCUUCCUACCAGCACUUACUGAGGUUCAACCAUUUUACAACACUGCUUUAAGGCAGUAAUCAUUUGCUGCAACAUCAUCACUGUCGUCAUUUUAAGGAUACAGAAGUGAGCUGGCCUGACACACAAACCAAGCAGGUUGGAAAGGCUAUGCAACUUCUUCCAAGAUGUGCUGUCGAUAAGUCCAAACUACAUCUCCUAGUCAGCAAGAAGGGAACACAAAUCAAAUCAUCUAUCAGAGACUCAACGUCAAGGUAAAGUGCAUGACUGCUUCAGAUAGUUGAUGUGCGGAAAUGUCCUUUGCAUUAUUGUGAGACCAGUGAAAAUCUCGCUGGUUGAAUAAGGAGGAAGCAGUUCUCUGAUUCAAGAAAACGUUUGGCAUGCCUUUGGAAGAAGGGCGAUGCUCGUAAGUUCACUUUAUUUCUGACCUUUCCCAUUGUUUCAUUAAAUUGAGUUUAUCCCUUUGAAGUUAAUGUACCUGCUCCAGAAUUGGGAAAGAAAACAACUCCCGAAGCCAAUAGGGAAAGUUCCAGCAGCAUGCUACUGCUUUUGAAAUGAAAGCCAGCCUGGGGCAUAAUAUUAUGCUUAAAGAUUGGGAGAGGUUGUGGAAAAAAGGAAUAAAGUUUACUGCAUCUACUGCUUUGAGAGAAAAUAUGAUGAAGAUGAUGUAUAGAUGGUAUUUAACACCUGUAAAACUUGCAAAAAUGUAUCGUACAUCUGAGAAUAAAUGUUGGAAAUGUAAGGAAAAAAGAAGGAACCUUUUACCACAUGUGGUGGAUGUGCCCGAAAGUAAAAGACUUCUGGGAAAAGAUUUAUAAUGAGAUAGCUGUUCCCUGCCACGCGUUGCUGUGGC